rnacentral:rRNA from 1 species
UACGUAGGGACCGAGCGUUGUCCGGAAUCAUUGGGCGUAAAGAGCGUGUAGGCGGCUAUUUAAGUCCUGCGUGAAAUCCUGCGGCUCAACCGCAGACGGUCGUGGGAAACUGGAUGGCUAGAGUGCGGGAGAGGAGAGUGGAAUUCCCGGUGUAGCGGUGAAAUGCGCAGAUAUCGGGAAGAACACCCGUGGCGAAGCCGGCUCUCUGGAACGCAACUGACGCUGAGACGCGGAAAGCGUGGGGAGCAAACAGGG